GGGCUGGUGGCGUAGUUGGCUAGCGCAUAGGUCUCAUAGCUAUAAUGUUAGUGAUCCUGGGGUCGAGAGUUCGAGCCUCUCUCACCUCA
rnacentral:tRNA from 1 species